GGUGAGGUGGCCGAGUGGUUAAGGCGCUGUGUUUAGGUAAGCUUUUACAAAGCAUACUCAAACCGCAGUUGGUAACAGCGUGGGUUCGAAUCCCACCCUCAUCA